UUAAGUCCUCAAAGCAAAUCAAGUACUCAGCUUUUAUUCCCACAGGUAUCUGAAGAUCUAGGCAAAACUGAGUUCUCUACAAAUCAGAAAACAAUGGAGAUGGACAAAGAGGCAAAGUUGACGGUCCCGAGGGAUCAUUACUUUAUCUCAUAUAAGCAGAAGGAGCUCUCUAAGGAUUAAGAAAUCUCAAAGCCUCUGAGAGCGCAACUGAAAUGAGAGUAUGAAACAGUGUAAGUGCAAGUGCUCAGGAAACUUACCCAAAUUGUAAACCUAGUAAGUGUUGCACCAAUUUCAAUUCUUUUUCUUCUACUGUUAACAUUAAAUUACAGUGCAUAUUGCUAAUUGUGAUAAAACCCUUCUUUCCAUUCUUGGUGCUGGUAAAACAGGUCUGCAGAUA
rnacentral:lncRNA from 1 species